CCUACGGGGGGCAGCAGUGGGGAAUAUUGGACAAUGGGGGGAACCCUGAUCCAGCCAUGCCGCGUGUGUGAAGAAGGCCCUCGGGUUGCAAAGCACUUUCAGUGAGGAAGAACGCCUGGUGGUUAAUACCCAUCAGGAAAGACAUCACUCACAGAAGAAGCACCGGCUAACUCCGUGCCAGCAGCCGCGGUAAUACGGAGGGUGCGAGCGUUAAUCGGAAUUACUGGGCGUAAAGCGCGCGUAGGUGGCUUGAUAAGCCGGUUGUGAAAGCCCCGGGCUCAACCUGGGAACGGCAUCCGGAACUGUCAAGCUAGAGUGCAGGAGAGGAAGGUAGAAUUCCCGGUGUAGUGGUGAAAUGCGUAGAGAUCGGGAGGAAUACCAGUGGCGAAGGCGGCCUUCUGGACUGACACUGACACUGAGGUGCGAAAGCGUGGGUAGCAAACAGGAUUAGAUACCCUUGUAGUC
rnacentral:rRNA from 1 species